GAUGAACGCUGGCGGCGUGCCUAAUACAUGCAAGUCGAGCGAACGGACGAGAAGCUUGCUUCUCUGAUGUUAGCGGCGGACGGGUGAGUAACACGUGGAUAACCUACCUAUAAGACUGGGAUAACUUCGGGAAACCGUAGCUAAUACCGGAUAAUAUUUUGAACCGCAUGGUUCAAAAGUGAAAGACGGUCUUGCUGUCACUUAUAGAUGGAUCCGCGCUGCAUUAGCUAGUUGGUAAGGUAACGGCUUACCAAGGCAACGAUGCAUAGCCGACCUGAGAGGGUGAUCGGCCACACUGGAACUGAGACACGGGCCAGACUCCUACGGGAGGCAGCAGUAGGGAAUCUUCCGCAAUGGGCGAAAGACUGACGGAGCAACGCAGCGUGAGUGAUGAAGGUCUUCGGAUCGUAAAACUCUGUUAUUAGGGAAGAACAUAUGUGUAAGUAACUGUGCACAUCUUGACGGUACCUAAUCAGAAAGCCACGGCUAACUACGU
rnacentral:rRNA from 1 species